GACGAACGCUGGCGGCGUGCUUAACACAUGCAAGUCGAACGGAAAGGCCCUGCUUUUGUGGGGUGCGCGAGUGGCGAACGGGUGAGUAACACGUGAGUAGCCUGUCCUUUACUUUGGGAUAACUUCAUGAAACUGGGGCGAAUACCGGGUAUGAGCUCCUGCUGCAUGGGGUUGGUGUGUAAAUUUCGGCGGUUGGGGAUUGACUCGCGGCUUAUCAGUUUGUUGGUUGGGUAGUGGCUUACCAAGGCUUUGACGAGUAGCCGGCCUGAGAGGGUGACCGGCCACAUUGGGACUGAGAUACGGCCCAGACUCCUACGGGAGGAAGCAGUGGGGAAUAUUGCACAAUGGGCGGAAGCCGGAAGCAGCAACGCCGCGUGCGGGAUGACGGCCUUCGGGGUGGAAACCGCGUUAGCCUGGGAAGAAGAGUGAGUGACGGUAAUGGGUAAAGAAGCAACGGCUAACUACGUG
rnacentral:rRNA from 1 species